rnacentral:lncRNA from 1 species
GAACAAACACUCUAAAAAAACAGGUCUUGCAGAUGUAAAUGCAGACGUCAAAUAGACAUCUCUGUGAUGUACGUGAGCUAUCAGGGUUACAUGGAUGGAGUAAGAGACUGAAGCCGUGCCUCUAUACACUCCGGUGUAGUAGGUGGCGGUAUGUGCGUUUCAAGGGUGUUUGUAAGCCGCCAUUACUCUAAAAGAAGGAGAUCCCAGUCUUCCGAUCCAUUAAACUCGCGCAGAGUUGAGUCGCUGCGCUUGUUUACGCGUCCAGCGAUUAUGUAAAUGAGGCCAGCGGCUGUAAACUGACUCGUGAGACCAGAAUAUUGUUCAUUCGCGAUGACUGGAAGAUUGUGGACACCCGAAGCGGAGGAGACGCUGAUCGAGCUCUGGCAGGAGUCUGCAUGUCUGUACGACAUUUCGUCCGCCGAUUACCACAACCGGGAGGAGAAGGACAAACGAUGGAAGGAGGUCGCCGAUGCGCUUCAGAUGCCCGCUUUGGCGGUGGCGACCAGGGUGGCGUCUCUGAGGACUCAAUAUUCCAGACUGAGGAAACCCAAACCCAACGGGAGUGAGAAGAAGCCCCUCACGAUGAGGCAGCGGUGGCUCCUGAGGGCCCUCGGCUUCCUGAAGCCACACAUCGUUCAUCGGCAAAGCGAGAACCCUCUGGGUUCUGAUAAAGUGGAGGAAACUGCAGACGAGUCGGAUGAAAUGGAGACGGACAAAGAAGUGGACAGUUUCGACUCCAUCAGCGUGUGUCUCUCCCCGAUGCCCGGCACUCCAGACACCGGCAUCCCCGAGGAAACUGCCUCGUACUCGCUGUCUCCCCGGAGCACAUCCGGCAAACGCACGCGCUCCUCCGAAUCCGACAUCGAGCUGCAGAAGCUGGAGGUGUUGAAGCAGAUGUCCGCUAAAGUCCUGGAGCACCCGUCUCCGGACGCCGCCGCCGUCUUCUCCAGCCAAGUGGCGAUGGAGUACCGUCUGCUGAGAGACCCCAGCGUCCAGAUGCGCGUCCGCCGGCAGAUCAUGGCUCUCCUCUACGAGGCACAGGAUUCAGAGAAACGUUCCCGGCAGUCCAAGAGACACGAGCAGAGAGAACUCAAAACUGAGGACGACGUUACUUGGAUUAACACUAAUAUAUAAGCUGAAAAAUAGUGUUGUUCUUGUGUUUUCUACAUUGUACUGAACUAUUUUCCUAGUGGAAGCUUUGAGAUAAUCUACAUGUAAGAUAAUAAAACUGUCCAACUCUUCAUGUGUAUUUUUAUUUUUUUGUAGCUGUGAG